GAGUAAAGAAGAGAGAGAAAGAAGAAGAAAGGAAAAGAGGAAGAAGAAGAAAGAAGAAGGGAGAAUCGAUGGUAGAGCUACACCUGAGCUGGGUUUUGGUAUUUUGAGCCCAGAUUUAUGAUCAUCUCACCGAGGUCUUUGAUUUGAGGAUUUUGAAGGAGUGUUGGUGAAGAUCAAGAGUAUUUGGAGGUUCUUGAGCAAAAGAAGUGAAAUUUAGGGUUUCAAUGGUGUUCUUGAGAAAGAGGUGUUUUACAGGCUACCCGCCUGGUGAUCAGGAGCCGGGCCCCACUGUGGAGUUUCCAUUUGAGGAUUGGUGGGUCCCUGAUGAGUUCGAGCAUGGUGCCGAUUGCACGUGUGAGGAUUGUGCUACGUGGCAGCUAUGACUCCUGAGUGAUUCUUUUGAUUCUUUUUUAUGUACUCUCUUUUUGUUACUUGAUGUUUAAAUUGUUAUAUAUUUGUAUAUCUAUCAUACCUCUGGGCCCAAAUGUAUAUAACCUUUAUAACUCAAUUUGGGUAUCAAAUAUUUGGAAAACAAUUACAGGUAUUAUUAUGAACAAGUCUUCCACUGAAAA